rnacentral:lncRNA from 1 species
AAAUUCCAUUAAAUAUAUUGCAAGAGCUCCUAGGUUAAGCUUGAUUUAAAUUUGCAUACAUUUUCAUAUAUUUAGCAGAAAUAAAAGAAGGCUUGCAGCUACCAGAAAGUCAUUAAGGCAUUAGUUUCUCUGAGAAGACAGAUCUGAAGAAAAUUCAAGAAAAUGAGAAAAUAGAUCUAAAUAAGGUGGAGUUGAAUACAUUGGUUAACUGCAAGCAGUAUGUUCUGAAGAUGAUGGUGUUCAGACAAAUACCCAAUUUGAUUCUGAUAAAUUGGAUGCAAGACUUUGACCAGCGUGAGAAGAACAGGCAUUAUGGAAGCAGGCAGCAUCCCAGACCUGUGGAGAAGCUCAGCAGGAGAACAAGUGGGGGAAAAUAUUCCCAAUGUCAUGCUGCUGCUGGUGGCUCAGGCACAGGAACAGGGGCCUGUGGUGGUCCAGCUCUUUGGAAAGUUUUGUACAGAAACCAGGAGGAUCUAAGAGCUGGAGCUAAUCCGUGAGAAAACAGCACCACCAGCAACAACAAUUUGCUCUAGACCAGAAAGAAGGUGGAAGAGGUGGGACUAAGAAGGACUUUCUCUUUCAAAAGAAGAAAUGUUGCUUUCCAGGCACCUGUAUGCUGAAAUUGAUUGAAAUGCAGUGUGAAUUGAAGAAAUAUUUGGAAACUGAGGUGGUUGUUACCUUUCUGUGCCUGGGUGUUCAAAGAGUGUUUCUGGCCAACACCUAAAAUUCAGUUUCCAAGGCCGGAGGCAGCAAAAGGCAAGUUUUGUAAAGACAAAAUGAGACCAAUGGAAAGAAAUUUCCUCCCAGCACAUUGGGAACCCUUCUCAACAAUAAAAACCACCAAAGGAACCACAAUGUUUGUGGAUUUUGUAGCUCCUUGUUCAGUCCAAAUACGAGGCAACCUUUCCCCUGGAUUUAUGGAGUUUAACACUGCAGGGAGUUUGGGAUCUUCACAAACUAUAACCAGAUUUUACUGGUGCCAAAUCUUUUGUGAUCCAAGCUCAUUUGUGGUGGGAAUGGGCUCAAGAUUUCAAAUCUGUGCCUCCGCCGGUUUUGACACCGUGCAAUGAAGCAUCCGAGCUCUCAGAUGUCUGGCUCUUCCGAGUUGUGAAAUGAGAAAACAAACAAACCCAACCAUUCCAGCCCUGUCAAUCUCCUUCUCAGUGGACAGAUGCCCUGGUGCCAGAAAAUCUUCAUCCCAUGAUCCCACACCUCUUGGCAGUGCCAAAAAAGCAAAAAAAAAAGCCAGAGAUCUACUGGAUGCAAAAGCGUGACGGUUCCUCACCUCAAAAAAGGGGAUUUGUGGCCACACUGGAGCUCCUGGGCUAAGAAUUUGCCAAGGGCAUCAACAGCAGUUUUCCCAGGCUCCAGCACAAGGAUUAUGUAGUCAAUCCACAAAUGACUCAAAUCUUUGAAGAAAAGGGCAUGGUUAUCAGAGAGGCUUUGAGGACAGCAAGGACGGGAGCGCUAUCUGCCUUUUUCCAUCAGAGAUUCCCAUUCCCUCUCAUUAACAUCCUCAGGACAUCAGCACAGCCAGCGGCCCCAGGGAAUCGCUUCCAACUUUUAAGGGGAUGUGCACAAGGCCUCGCCCCUGCGUUGUUUCAGACAGAUCAAACCAGAUUUGCCUCGUGGAAGGGUUCUUCAAUCCCACUGAGGAUGUGAUGUGAACGCACACACACUUGGUGUGGGGAAAGGAGAUGCCUCUACCUGCUCACUCCCAGUGCCCUGUAAUGAAAAAUGCUUUUGGAGCAACACUGGAAAUAAGCCAUCAAAAUAUCUGAUUAAACCUCUUAAGAAACUCUCACUAAUCACCUUCUCUGCUCUUGAUGGAAUGUAUUUAUGCAUUAUAAAUAUACUUACUGUGUGUGUGUGUGCUCCAUAAAUCACACCCAGCACUUGUAUAUGAUGUAUAAGCACAUUCUAUAGAACACACACAAAUACAGAUGCCAGGCUCCCACAGAGUUCAUCACUGGAAAAUGUUUGAAGGAUCUGAUCCUUAAUAUUUAAUGAGAAAGAUGCUAUUUCCUUCCUCAGCUUUUAUCUCUGGUUUGGCACAGUCAUUAAAUUUGUUGUUUCCUUGCAAGAUUAUAUAAUUUAUGACCUAAUUUUAGACUUUUGUGUAAUGGCGUUGAAACACUCGUGGCAUAUCCUGAUUUCUUCACACGGAGUGUUCCAGCCUCAGCCACCAGCUCCAGCACGACUUCUGUGAGCUGCCUGUCAGGCAGGAGUCGCAGGCAUGAAAGAAAAACAGCCCAACAAUAUUCAGGCAGCAUUAGAAGAUUAGUUUGUGGGGGGUUUGCCCUGCAAAAAAUAUGAUUUAGCAGCAUUUCCAAAGCCUUCUGCAGUGCUGGCAGGAAUCCCCAGGUAAGACAGGCAGCACCCAGCAACUUUAUUGCCGAAAAUAUUUUCAUGCUUCUGACUUUCAGACUCCUCUGGGACAGCAGUGCAGGAGGGAUGUCUAGAGGUGCUUUAAAGCCACUGCCAGCCCCUCACCCUCUGGAAUUUCCUCCCAGCACCAGCCUGGCUGCUGGGCUGAUUUUUUGCUGCACAAGGUGUUGCUGGAUAACUCCAAAAGGAAUUAUUCUAAAGCUGCAGCCACUUUAUUUUUUUGGUGUUUGCUGUGUGUCCAGAGUAAUUCAGAGAUGCUGCAAAUAGUGCCAUGAACUUCAGGUAUUCUGUCAAUUUUACCCAUAUUGUUGGGACCAGUCUUUCAUAAAAUUUAAUAUAUUAGCUGUUGCAUUAAUGCACUUUGAGAGGAUUUUAUCCUGGUGUUCCAUAGGGAAGUGGCUUGUGGUUGAGGAAGGAUUUGAUGUUUCCUUUGUGCCUGCAGUGCUAUUUGGAGGAGUUUUCCUCUUUUUCCACCUUAUCCUGAAUAUCCAACAGGGAUGGCAGAGCUGGGAUGCUGCAUCCUCAGAUCAGCACAGGAACACAAGGGACACCCCUCUACCACAACAACUUCAUGUACAGGGUGAGGGGGUGCCUACAUGAAAGAAAAAGCAUCCUCAUGAAAAGGGGACAUUCAUUCUUGGAUUAAAUAAAUUGGAGAGUUUUUCUCCUUGGUUUUAAUGGAACAGUUCCAGGAAAGAAGCAGAGAACAAAGUGUUUUCAGAAUCACAUAAUUCAAGAGUAAAAUCAUAAUUCCAAUUACCAUUGCAGGCACUUCUGGCCUUGGGAAACCUAUGCUAAUAUUUAUUAUUAUGUGAUUGACCUCUGAUUUCUUCAUCAUUUACAUUAGCAACCCUGAUAUUCUUAGUAACAUCCUUUAAAUCAUAGAAACAGGUGGCAACAGUGCACGAUGAAGUCACAUCCUGCAGAUUUUUUAUUUACUUAGUCCAUUUUUUCCUGGUUAAAUAACAUUGUGAGAUGCAGAAUCUCACCUCCACAAAGUCUCUAGGGGUGUGUAUAAUCGUGGAAUGCAUCUUCUAUAAUCUCACAAAAUCAGUCAAUCCUAUCAGAAGUACAAAGAGUUUUACAAAGUCAGUAUUUCACUGCCAUCACUGCCUGACAUUGUUUUCCACACAGUACAAGAAAAUAUUUACUUGACUCUUUGACAUGAAUUGCCACAAAGCCUUUGGAACGAAAAUGAAAUAGUGAGAAUUAAAAUGGAAUAACUUGACUUAAUUAAUUUAGCCUAUUUUCUGUGUGCUGCAUUUAGAUGUCAGAUGAUUUCUUAUAAUGUUUGGGAUGGAUAUGGACACCUCCAAUCCCUGUUAUUCAGUGAGGUGCCUACACACAGAACACAGAGCUGCCCAGAAUAUCCAAAGCUGGAAGCUGAUCCUCUUCUCCAUCAUCUAAAUAUUUUCUUUGCAUAAGAGCAUUUCUCUGGAUGAAUUAAGACACUGCAGUAAUUUUCCAGGUGUAAGUGAGGUUCCAAGGGCUGCCUGGGGCAUGUCACUGCCUUCAGCAGAGUGGAUAAAAUUGUAUUUAUCCACAAAGAGACUGAUUUUUUUUUCACUUUGUUAUGGGGAUGUGUCGAAAAGUUUAAAUUCUCUGUCUCCCUUAUCCACUGCUCAUCUUCCUGCCUUGGUGCUCCUCCUUGCAGAGAGCACAGCCAGGGGAUUUUCAGCACCUCCUCGGGAAAUGUUCCCCAUCUGUGGAGCUGGAAAAGUGGCACCCACCCGGGGAGGGCUGUCCUUGAUCAUCCUUGCCUCUCAUGCCUCAUUUUUUAAACUGAAAUUUAAUAUAUUAGCUAUUGCAUUAAUGCACUUUGAGAGGAUUUUAUCCUGGUGUUCCAUAGGGAAGUGGCUUGUGGUUGAGGAAGGAUUUGAUGUUUCCUUUGUGCCUGCAGUGCUACUUGGAGGAGUUUUCCUCUUUUUCCACCUUAUCCUGAAUAUCCAACAGGGACGGCAGAGUUGGGGUGCUGCAUCCUAUUAGAUUCCGCAGAACUUAGAUUCAGAAGAAAUUAGAUUAUUUUGAACUUACAUUGCCUUAAAAGGUUUGCCUUGACUCAGCAGGUGACAGGAUUUGGGAUGUUCCAGCCGGAUUUUGCAUCGUUUGGGAGAGAUUUCUAAGGUUUGUGAGCCUCAUCCAGCUGUCAGGGAGGUGAGUCCUCUUCCCCUCUCUGGACAGGUAGCCCUAAAACACGCUCUGAUUUCUGGAUGUCAGUGAGGGAAGGGUCAGAGCAGUCCCAGACCUGCUCCUGAAGGCUGUCAGAGUGCAAUAACCAUCAGCAGCCGCUGCAAAGACACAGUCCCAGCACCAAGCACCUGCAGGGAGGCUCCGAGGGCCAAAUCCCCCUCGGCUGCAAUCAGGAUUUUUCCUGCGCUCAGGGCGAUCCGCCUGCUCCUGGCUGAAGAGGCACUUCUAAUCCACUGCUAAGAGACUUAUUAGCAAUGUAAAAAAGAAUUGGAAGCAAGGAAAGUAUUCUUCCUGGCAGAAAUGUGCUUUGUAAAAUUAGCUUUGCUGACAGGAGUAAUUGGGUUAAACUCCUCGAGACUGUGGGUGCUAUUUGUUGCCCCUUAUCUUACCCAAGCAAAGGGUACCAAACUCUUUGAACUUUGUAAAUAAUUGUUUACGAAGUGCUGGAUUUUUUUUUUUCUCUCUAUAAAUUCUAGUAAAGAAAA